rnacentral:lncRNA from 1 species
AGGCAAAAGAUUCAUUGUAUACAACUAAUGCUAACAUCACAGGUAACAAGAGCCGCAUUCUAUUAUUCUCAUGGUUGAGAGUAGCCAUAAACUCAGAGGAGAUCAGUCUCUACAGUUGUGAAGUCCAUUUGGUCUAUAUCCGGCUUAGUUGUAUUAUGUGCGUCUUUCCUCGCUUACAUUUUUAGCUUCGAUCUCAGCGACAAUAUGGAAGACUGCAUUGUGUGCAUGACAUCAACAGCUGAGCUAACAACAUGCGUGAUAUAAUACAUAAAAAUAUUCAUAAAAAAAAAUUGA